UACAGAGGGUGCAAGCGUUAAUCGGAAUUACUGGGCGUAAAGCGUGCGUAGACGGUCAUGUAAGUCGGGUGUGAAAGCCCCGGGCUCAACCUGGGAAUUGCAUUCGAGACUGCAUGGCUAGGAUGCGGAAGAGGGAAGCGGAAUUUCCGGUGUAGCGGUGAAAUGCGUAGAUAUCGGAAGGAACACCAGUGGCGAAAGCGGCUUCCUGGUCCAGCAUCGACGUUCAGGCACGAAAGCGUGGGGGGAGCAAACAGG
rnacentral:rRNA from 1 species